GAUGAAGAACGUAGCGAAAUGCGAUACGUAAUGUGAAUUGCAGAAUUCAGUGAAUCAUCGAAUCUUUGAACGCAUAUUGCGCUCUCUGGUAUUCCGGAGAGCAUGCUUGUUUGAGUGUCAGUAAACACCUCAACUCCCCUUUCUUUUUUUGAAAUGGGAGCUGGACUUGAGUGAUCCCAACGCUUUUCUCACCGAAAAGUGGCGGGUUACUUGAAAUGCAGGUGCAGCUGGACUUUUCUCUGAGCUAAAAGCAUAUCUAUUUAGUCUGCCUAAAAAACAGAUUAUUACCUUUGCUGCAGCUAACAUAAAGGAGAUUAGUUCUUGUGCUGACUGAUGCAGGAUUCACAGAGACAGCUUCGGCUGGCCUUUGUAAACUCGAUCUCAAAUCAAGUAAGACUACCCGCUGAACUUAAGCAUAUCAAUAAGCGGAGGA
rnacentral:misc_RNA from 1 species